UUCCAGUAGUUUAGCAACAGUAUUUGUCAGAUGUUUGGAAAUACCAGACAAACAUUGAAUUGCAUGUGCAUAGUCUGACUCUACUUUGCUUGUGCAGUUCAUCUAAAGCAUCCCAAACAUUGAACUAACUGAUGAAAACAAAAAUGUUUGCAGGUGUUUGUUCAAUCCUUUAUUUGACUUGUCUCUUUAAACUAGAAGUUUUCCUUGGCUGUCACUUAUUAUGUGCUUGCAGAACACAGAAUCAUAGAAACACAAGGUCAUAAAGGACCUAUAAGAUCAUCUAGUCCAACCGUUCUGUCACCAGUACUACCCACUAAGUUAUUAGAUCAUAUCUCAUAGCACCUCAUCCAGGCACUUCUUGAACACUGCCAGGGACGGUGACUCCACCACUUCCCUGGGCAGGCUGUUCCAGUGCCUGACCAGUCUUUGAGAGAAAAAAAUGCUUGGUAUCUA